CGGGACACGUGGUAUCCUGUCUGAAUAUGGGGGGACCAUCCUCCAAGGCUAAAUACUCCUGACUGACCGAUAGUGAACCAGUACCGUGAGGGAAAGGCGAAAAGAACCCCGGCGAGGGGAGUGAAAAAGAACCUGAAACCGUGUACGUACAAGCAGUGGGAGCACAGGUUUACCUGUGUGACUGCGUACCUUUUGUAUAAUGGGUCAGCGACUUAUAUUCUGUAGCAAGGUUAACCGAAUAGGGGAGCCGGAGGGAAACCGAGUCUUAAUUGGGCGUUAAGUUGCAGGGUAUAGACCCGAAACCCGGUGAUCUAGCCAUGGGCAGGUUGAAGGUUGGGUAACACUAACUGGAGGACCGAACCGACUAAUGUUGAAAAAUUAGCGGAUGACCUGUGGCUGGGGGUGAAAGGCCAAUCAAACCGGGAGAUAGCUGGUUCUCCCCGAAAGCUAUUUAGGUAGCGCCUCGUGAAUUCAUCUCCGGGGGUAGAGCACUGUUUCGGCUAGGGGGCCAUCCCGGCUUACCAACCCGAUGCAAACUGCGAAUACCGGAGAAUGUUAUCACGGGAGACACACGGCGGGUGCUAACGUCCGUCGUGAAGAGGGAAACAACCCAGACCGCCAGCUAAGGUCCCAAAGUCAUGGUUAAGUGGGAAACGAUGUGGGAAGGCCCAGACAGCCAGGAUGUUGGCUUAGAAGCAGCCAUCAUUUAAAGAAAGCGUAAUAGCUCACUGGUCGAGUCGGCCUGCGCGGAAGAUGUAACGGGGCUAAACCAUGCACCGAAGCUGCGGCAGCGAACGUAUCACCCAAGACAACUUUACGGAGUUGACGAUUGACGGAGCGAAGCGACGUCAAAGCGUUCAUUAAAGUCGAGUUGGCUUAGGGAUACGUUCGUUGGGUAGGGGAGCGUUCUGUAAGCCUGUGAAGGUGUGUCGUGAGGC
rnacentral:rRNA from 1 species